CAAAAGUAAAGUUUUCAUUCUGCUGAGUGCUUUUCACCCUGUUUAGCCUCAAAGAAAAAGAUCUGAAACUCCAUAAGAUUAGAAUCUUAUCAGAAGAAUUUCACCAUGAUAAUAAAAUCACCAUGAACUUCACUGAACAACGCACUCAUUUGAAAAAAAAAAAAAAAAACUUAAGAACAUAGUUAAAUUAUCUGUUAAAUAUUAACUUAAAUGUGCUCAUAGGAGAGUCUGUGGAAAGGUCACAGGAAUAUGUUUAGCCCAGGGAUAUCAUCCUGAGACAGCGAGGCCCAGUAGCGUUCUUCCUCAUCAUCUGUGACAGCUGGACAUCUGGGGAGCAACGACGCAAGCAGCUCCUGGCAACGUUUUCCCUCAUCUUGUGACAAGUUAGGCUUUUUUUCCUACUUUGGUUGAAGUUGUUGGCAAGAACUGCCUGAAGAAGAGACAGCUUCCAAAAUCUGUGGUGGCCAAGGAAGUCUGCCAGCAGCUGAAUGCCAGCUCUCUUUGCCUUCUAGUCUGCAUUUUCCUUACUGUCGCCAGGAGUUUGGAAGAAGCCAGCAGGCAGUGCAGUCAUUUGGUAAUGUCUUUCCCAGUGCCAAGAUGGAUUAAUGCUGGGAGAUCUUACAACUGGCUCCAGGUACUUUCCCUCUGGGCUGGGGCCUCUGUGGCGCCCUGCUCAGCAUCUGCCUGAGCUGCCAGACAAGAGUGGGGAGGCUGACCAGCAAGCACUCAAGUGGGAGCUCUUUCGUCAGGACUGACCGGGAAGCUAAGCUGGAGGAAGAAUCUGACACGAGCAAGGCCACGAAGGCAAGGUGGGGGUACCCCUCACUCCAAAGGCUCCUCCGUGGCUUCUCCUCCCGAGCCGGACCCAGGGGCCUCGCACGAAAUAUGUUCUUGUUCCUACUUGCACCUAAAACCUGUCUGGCUUCACCCAGAAAUAAUUCUCAGCGGACCUGAGGAAACGUCACUGCCCAGUAUCCUUUGACAUCUCAGACAACCCGAGUGAUGUUCUCACUUUCUCCAGGGCACACCUUUUGUGCAAACUCUCUCAGGACAGCCGUGAGGGGAAGCCUGCGUACACCAAAGGCUCCUGGUCCCUAUUCUGCUCCUACCGGUGGGGAACCGCACCCCAACACCCGCCAUCCGCCGCUGACAGAACCGCCGAGCCGGGACUGCGGUACUCUGACGACGGGAAGAAACCCUUAACACGAUUUUAAGGAAAAGAAGAUCAUGAAUAAACAUGGGGCGGUAGCACCCACGUCGUUACAACAGGCGGCGGUGAAACCCUAUACUUUUAAUAAGAAUGCGCCCUCUCUCGAAGGAUCUUCCAGUGACGGGCCAGGACCUGAUUUACCCAUUUCGACUCUGGUAUUAGACUACGUCUCAGCCAAACAACUGCCUCACCACCGCAGUGACUGUGACCUUUCAGAGCACGGCUGGGCGCGGCGCGACCUCGGCCAGUGCAUUAAGAAACCUGCGCCGAGAGCGGACAGACAGCGGCCUGCUGGGGGCUGCCGCGAGCCCGGCCUGCACGCUGCUGCGCAUGCGCCCCGCGUGCCACGCGCGGCUCCGGGACCCUCUCGGGGGAGGGGCGGGGCGGGGCGUGAGCGGCGGUCGCCGGCUCCGCCUCGGCGUCUGGGAGCGCGGUGUCGUCUGGGGCACCCUCGCCUCUCACCCCGACCGGAAGUCUGCUCAGGGAUUUGUCCCGACGUCGUCGUUAAUUAGCGCUUUGUGGUUUGCAUAGGGUGACGUCAUCUCUGCUCCGCUGCGCCCGGCCACGCUGGGGCCUGGGUCGGGGAGGCUCCCCCGGGACCUCGCUCCCCGGCGCCCGGCCCGGGGCCUGCAUUGUUUAGUGCUACUGCUGGCUGGUUAAGUGCGCAGCAUCGAGGUUUUCUCCCCCUUUUUCGGAGUUGGAAACACAGGACAUGCCCUCUUAAAUGUCUGAGCCUCCAGGCUGUCUACCUCUUCAUUCUGACGCACUUCCUUCCAGCCUCCCGCCCGCGUUUCUUUGCGGCUGUCUUUCAGGUUUUUCACAUUGCUUAGCUACAGUCGUUUUAUAAAUAUGUCACCUUGUGUCCUACCUUUUUAGCUUAGUAUUGUAGCAGCAGUAUUGCACAUAGCUUCCCUUUAAAAGCUCCCAAAGAGUCCCUUUAGUGGAGAUGGCAUCAGAUACUUAGACGUUUCCCUUCGUGGAAACCGGAGAUGUCUCUAGGUUUUUGCUAGCACAUGGCCAAACCUCCACGCUUCCCCACGCUUGCCCAGGUUUAAUGGUUCAUGAGACAUGAUGGGGCAUAGGCUGAGAGACCACACCUUGAAAGUGUGAUGUUCUGCCUUGCUGAUGGUGGGGAGCAAGGGUGGAGAUUGCCUGCCUGCAGGGUGAGUUUUUGUGCCUUUGCCAUGGGGAUAGAGUCAGAAAAGAGGGGAAGCCAGCAUCUGUCCUCAUGAAGAUAAGUGCCGAUGAAUCUGGGAACACUGAUAUUGAGCACUUAGUUUUAAUUCUCUUAGUCACAGCCUCCAGUGUUCUGGGGGAAAUCGUCCUUGUCCCUUUUCCUAAAAGAUGGGAGAAGUACAGGAGAAAGCACUGGGCCUAAGGGAGGAAACGGUAGCACCACGCAGUGCAUUUUCUGCCCUGCCGUGCUCUGGCCCUUUUCUGUAAGGAGUCUUCGCCCCCACUUCCUGUAAGAGCAGCACAGAGUUUCUGUAAGAUGCCAGAUUUCUGGGAUAAGCAGAGUCCUGAGCCAUCAAAACCGUCUGUGAGCUCCUGCCUAGGCCUCCUCUUUUAUCUCUUGCAGAUCACCCUGUUUGAUAGUUGUGACACUGGAAGGGAAUGGUGGAAGAAAGGCUGGUGGUUUGAGAAUAGAUCAGCCUCCCAGGGCCUUUGUCUGGAAGAUCUCACACACUCUACCAUAGUUGGUGCGGUUAGCGAAGGCCACGUGACUCUGCUAAGAGUGACUGUCAGCGCUGGGAGAUCACUGUCCAACCAGGGAGUGAGCAGGAACAGCAUCACCCUCUUUGCUGCCUGGCAACUUACUUUUAUCAGACAAAAUGUGACCCAGACUCUCCAGCCAAGCCAGUUUUCAGUAUUGUGUGUUUCUGUGAGGAAAGCUCCGUUGACCAGAUGGCCACAUGCUGCAUCCUGGUUGCAGGUCACAGCACAAAGCAGGCAGUUUCGUGUAAUUGAUGUGUUCUUUGCAAGGCAGCUCUCCAUUCCUGACGCAUGUGAGACGUAGCAGUAAAGCACUGACAUAAUGUCAGGAGGGAGAGGCUGGUCAUGGUGGCUCUCUCUGCCACCAGAGAGAACCAGAAGAGGCGCCUGCUGUUCCCCCAACCCCUUUGCAGAGCAGCUCCCUCUACGACAAUGCAGUGGUCACCUCCUUCUGGCCCACUGCCUCCCCCCACACACACACACUCUCCACCUGGAAGGAAGGCAGAUCACCGUGUCUCCACAGGGGGGUUGCUCUUGCAGGAGACCCAGCCCUCUGAGGGCAACACCCCAGACCUGGCUGCCAGCAGCAAACACACCAGCUCCCAGUUCUCCCCAGGUGCUCAUUUCAAAAUACCCAUGGAUUCUCCAUGCUUCCAUUUUUGGAGGACGGUUUCCUUGUUGCUGUCCAGCUCACACAGGAUGGGGAAAAAGCCAACUCCCGUCUCAUCAUGUCCAGUGAGGUCAGUCCCUCCAGGCCUGUGCUCUCAGCAUCCCUUCCUCCGACAACAUUCUCUAGGCAUUGCUGACCCUGCUGUGUUCUGACUGUUAAAAGGUCACCUGCGUUUUGAAUUCUUUCCACUCUCCUCCCAGUUAUUUGUGAUAGCCUCUUAGAAGCUUAAAAAUAACAUCUAUUCCCCAAGUGGUUUUGUGUAUUUCCAUUUGGCAAAACUUUAUUUUGUUCCAUGUGUUUCUAAGGGAACAAAAAUGAAAAUGGUUUAUGUCCUGCUUCCUACAGUGGCUUGACUGAUGUUGUCAGAAUUGGAAUUGUCCCUCAGUCCAGAUUGGGUACACCCAACCAUCAGCUAAGGCCUAAUGCAGACACUUUAUAAACUACAAAAACAAUGGACAUUGUUUGACUGUUGGGAAAUCUACUGCUUGUACUUCCUUUAAUCAAGCCUUGAGUUUUUUAGUAAAAAGAUUCAAGCCACCUAGCGUGGAUGUAACAGUAUAAAAGUGGAUCACACUAUAAGCAUAAGCUAUGACAUUUUGUCCCCCUAUUAAAAGAAAACUGAAGGGAAUAUAAGAAGCCAUGGUGGAGGACACCAGGUACCAGAAAGGGUCCAUGGGGAGCUUCUGGGGUGCAGGAAAUACCUAUUUGAAGAUCUGGGUGAUAGCGACAUGAGCACAUUUACUUUGUGAAAAUUAACUGAGCCCUCCAUUUAUGAUCACAUUUUUCUGAAUGUCUUCUCUACUGUAAUAAAGAGUUUACGUAAACAAAAAUCUGAUGGGUUUUGUUGAGGUAGGCAGUCAAAGCAAUGAAAACAAUUAUUCCUUGAUUCAACAAACAUUUUCUAGUGCCCAUUUGGUACUCAGUGGUAAACACAGACUUUGAACAUUCAUAGAAAUUAGUAGGUCAGGGGCCACAUGGCCUGACUUCAAGGAAUCUAAAGCCAGUUACCAUAUAAGUUUAAAAUACUCAAUGUAAAUACCCAUAUUAGGUUUUUAGUUGUGGCGUAGGCGCCAUAAUAUUAUAAGAUGUGAAUGUUAAGGGAAACUAACUGAGGAGUAUGUGGGAAUUCUCUGUGCAGUGGUUGCAACUUUUCUGCAAACCUAACCCCACUCGAAGCAUAAAAUUACAAUUAAAAAAUACUCAAAGAACGACUGUGAGGGGUAGAUUGUUUUGGGGUCAAGAGAAUCAGAAGCAACUGUGUAGAAGGAAAGAUGUUUGCACAGGGUCUCAAAAGAAGAGUGAGAUCAGAAUGAAGGGAAGCGAUAAAGAGGUUUUUCUAGACAGGGAAACAUGAUACAAGAAACUGUGGAGAGUGUAGAAGGACAGCAAAGGGUUCUGUCAGGCUGGUGUCCUGGGCAUAAAAGAGGAGAGGUGUGGAGUACAAUCAGACAGGCAGAGGGCCUUAAAAGCAAACCAGAAAGAGCCUGAAACUUUAAAAGUUAACUGAUACACAUUAAAAAGCUCUGAAUUGCUGUUGAAAUCCAUUAUUUUACAAGAAAAGAUAAAUAUGUUAAUUUGAAAACAGAUAAGAAUUAAUAUACUCAAAGCAUCUCGCCAAGUCCAUGUACAUCUUCUACAGAGCUAAAGGAAUUGAGUCAUAACAUUUAUGGAACAUUUGUGAUGUGCCUGGUGCUUUAUGUCUACUCUCUUAUUUAAUCAUCCUAAGAUUCUUAUGAAGCAGCUGUUCCUAUUUUAUCUUACAGAUAGAAAAUCGAGAACUUGUUUGUUUCCAAUAAAUACAAAAGAGUCAUAAAUAUAAAAAAUAGAUACAGCCACCUGAGAUCUUGUUUGUUUCCAACAAACACGAAGUCAUAAAUGUCAAAAAUAGAUACAGGACUUCAUGCCAGAAUGUGUGCUUCCGUGGUUGAAAUGGAACUCUGAGUUGGAAAUAUGUUUACUUUUACAUUUUAUUUAAAUUUAUUUAACUGAAAAGAAAGUCAUCUGGGACUAAUUUAAGUUCUUCAAGACAUAAUGGUCUUGAUAAACCCAUUUAUCAAGUGUGUUUUAUGGAAUAAUUCAGACAAGCGUGUUUGGCAAGGGAUAAUUAUCACACAGAGUACCAAAAGCUGAUAAAGUCUGGCCUACACAGACUAGACGCAGUACAAGAGAGCACUUUUCCAGUUCAGUUGGAAACGUGUCUUGUGGAGUCAGAGACAACACAGCUAUGCUGCAUGGACUGUAGGAUGAACAUUCUGGCUCUAAGCUGUGAAUAUUUCCAAGUAGUUCCAAAGAAAAGGAUUUAACCUUCCUAUCUUGGGGUUUCUAGAAGCAUCAUAAUUUGCCUUUAAAGCCAAGUUUCUAUGUAUUUGAGAGUCACAUGGCUCAAUAGUUAGUAAUGUCGUUUUCUUUCCCUGCUAAAUACUUGGAUCAGAUGCACUGAAAAAAGAAAGUUUUAUUUUUGACUUUUGGUCAUUCCCUUAUAAUGCAGAAAUGAAAAGUUCAUCAAAGAUCUAUAGUUUUCACUGAGAAUUUCCUACCUUUGGUUUUGUCUAAAACUCCCCCACCACCACCACCACCCUCUCCAGUAAGCCACAUAGCAGUUUUUCCUCUCUUUAUAACUGUUGAAAGAGAAUUAAGUUCCUGAGUGGAAAUUUUGCUUUCCUCUAAUUCCUGACAGACAGUGCUCUACACCUGACAGCUACAAGGUAGGAAGGCAGCUGAGUUAACAAAGAAGCAUUUUGUUCUCAAUCUUGCCAUGCAGUAUCACAGGGUGUGAUGAAAACUGGAACAAAUAUGGAAAUCAGAGAGGUGCCAGAACAUUACAUUUAAAAAAUGGAAUUAUUUGAGUCAAUCUGGAAUGUCUGGUUCUUUUGGUUUCGGCCUCAUGGGUAGCAUUGUGCUUCAAAAACAACUUGAAUUGGCUACCAGGAUUCCAGAAGGGUAACAUAAUCCUGCACCUUGGUGGAGAGAUGCUUAUCUUUGUCUACCGUAGGCAGAAAGAGGCUGGAUGCAUCCACCUUUUCAUAUUUCAAAAUGAAAAGUGUUCAAAUAAGUUCCCAACCUGAAUGGAAUUUGGAAACAAGAGUGGGAGGAAGAACUUACUCAGGUCUUUUUGGAUUGUGCACAUUUUUGUUUGAAAUCAUUGCCCCACCACGAGCCAAUACCCUUUACAACUACAGAAAUAUGGAGUUUGGGGGAGAUUCAUCCUCACCACUUCCUCUUCUGUGAUUUGGCAUUUAGAGAAAAGAUCCCAGGAAAGGUUAGUAAUCCAAAUACAGCACUCAGACCUCCUGAGGACACAGAGACACUUAAAUGAGACCCAGGAGCUGGCAAUGGCUCAACUCCUCUUCCAGAAAAAGCAGCCUGGAACCCAGUAACCUCAGCCUGUUACAGCCAUGCUGCUACCUCUGCAGAGGCUUCACUGAGGACAUUGAACGCGGCAGGUCUCACUUCACUCUUGUCACCAAUAUACAAAGUUGUAGGGGUGUGUCUGACCUCGAUAAAAUGUUGGAGAAAACCAGAGGGAAUUAUAACAUAUGACGGAAGGAAUUUUAAACUGUGUCAUCCAACAAGGGGGAAAACAUCCCCAUCAAGUUCAGGAGACACACCCAAGCUCCUGACCUUGUUGACUUGUCCCAUAGUGGGAAAGAAUCCCCAGGCUCUUUAGGGACUUAGGGCCUCAUCCCCUGAGAGUUGGUCUAACUGCAGCAUUCUUCAUGUACCUGCUGUAACACACACCUUCAUGCUUGACCUGUCCAGCUUAAAGGAGUCUAAUGUUUUUUGUUUUGGGUUUUUUUUUUUAAAGAUUUAUUUAUUUAUUUAUUUGAAAGUCAGUGUUACACACCAGAGAGAAGGAGAGGCAGAGACAGAAAGAGAGAGAGGUCUUCCAUCCACUGGUUCACUACACAACUGGCCUCAACAGCCAGAGCUAUGCUGAUCCGAAGCCAGCAGCCAGGAGCUUCUUCCGGGUCUCCCACACAAGUGCAGGGGCCCAAGGACUUGGAUCAUCCUCUACUGCUUUCCCAGGCCAUGCAGAGAGCUGGAUCAGAAGUGGAGCAGCCAGUACUCGAACCAGUGCCCAUACAGGAUACCAGCACUGCAGGUGGCAGCUUUAACCUCUACAAUAAGAUUGUCUAAUCUAGUACUUUUCAGUAUGCACCAUGAACAUAAAUGACCUGAGUAAGGCUGACAUUGUACUUCUGGCAAAUUCCCCAUGGAUAAUACCACUGGUAUGCAGCCCACACUCUGAUUAGCAAAAAUACACAUUCAGUAUUCAACUUUCUUCAAUUGCACCAAAAUACUUUUCUAGUUCUUUUUUUCUCCCCCAUUCUGAUUCGAGGUGAGAGACAUGCAUUACUAUGAAUAGUCAUGUCUCUGUAGGUAGAGAUUGUGAACAUUGUGAACAUUAUAUUGGUGGUUUUCUUAGUUACAAAAUCAAGUAUUGAGAUUUCCCACUGUUAGAACUGGCCCUGCAUUGAAUGCUGGGUGAAGACCACUGUCCCCCACGGUCUCAGUAAUAGAUGGACAGAGAAGAGAGUGAUGUCUCCACCAGUCACUUCUAGAAGCAGCUCCAGGGGCUGACACUGUAAAUUGCUGAGGUGGGGAAAGUGGACAGGUGAGCUUCUGUUAUGU